GCACCUGGCCGAGUGGUUAAGGCGAUGGACUUGAAAUCCAUUGGGGUGUUCCUGUGCAGGUUCAAAUCCUGCCAGCAACA